rnacentral:rRNA from 1 species
UACGGAGGGUGCGAGCGUUGUCCGGAAUCCCUGGGCGUAAAGGGCGCGUAGGUGGCGACCCAAGUCAACGGUGAAAGCUCGGCGCUCAACGCCGAGUCGGCCGUCGAGACUGGGUGGCUCGAGCACUGUAGAGGCAGAUGGAAUUCCGGGUGUAGCGGUGGAAUGCGUAGAGAUCCGGAAGAACACCGGUGGCGAAGGCGGUCUGCUGGGCAGUAGCUGACACUGAGGCGCGACAGCGUGGGGAGCAAACAGG